AGCAGAGUAAAAAUAUGAGCGUUAAGUGUUCUAAACACGGGGAGUUGGUUUAGAAACGAAAAGAUUUUCUUGCGGUUCAUAUUUUGCAUCCCGCUGUU
rfam:Eubacterium cylindroides T2-87 draft genome.